rnacentral:rRNA from 1 species
UACGUAGGGACCAAGCGUUGUUCGGAUUUACUGGGCGUAAAGGGCGCGUAGGCGGCAAUUCAAGUCAUCUGUGAAAUCUCCGGGCUUAACUCGGAACGGUCAGAUGAUACUGCUUUGCUAGAGUGCGGAAGGGGAAAUCGGAAUUCUCGGUGUAGCGGUGAAAUGCGUAGAUAUCGAGAGGAACACCAGAGGUGAAGAAGGGUUGCUGGGCCGACACUGACGCUGACAGCGCGAAAGCCAGGGGAGCAAACGGG